rnacentral:rRNA from 1 species
AGCGAACGCUGGCGGCAGGCCUAACACAUGCAAGUCGAACGAACUCUUCGGAGUUAGUGGCGGACGGGUGAGUAACACGUGGGAACGUGCCUUUAGGUUCGGAAUAACUCAGGGAAACUUGUGCUAAUACCGAAUGUGCCCUUCGGGGGAAAGAUUUAUCGCCUUUAGAGCGGCCCGCGUCUGAUUAGCUAGUUGGUGAGGUAACGGCUCACCAAGGCGACGAUCAGUAGCUGGUCUGAGAGGAUGACCAGCCUCACUGGGACUGAGACACGGCCCAGACUCCUACGGGAGGCAGCAGUGGGGAAUCUUGCGCAAUGGGCGAAAGCCUGACGCAGCCAUGCCGCGUGAAUGAUGAAGGUCUUAGGAUUGUAAAAUUCUUUCACCGGGGACGAUAAUGACGGUACCCGGAGAAGAAGCCCCGGCUAACUUCGUGCCAGCCGCCGCUGUAAAAC